GCAUAUCAAUAAGCGGAGGAAAAGAAACCAACAGGGAUUGCCCUAGUAACGGCGAGUGAAGCGGCAACAGCUCAAAUUUGAAAUCUGGCUCUUUCAGAGUCCGAGUUGUAAUUUGCAGAGGGCGCUUUGGCUUUGGCAGCGGUCCAAGUUCCUUGGAACAGGACGUCACAGAGGGUGAGAAUCCCGUACGUGGUCGCUAGCUAUUGCCGUGUAAAGCCCCUUCGACGAGUCGAGUUGUUUGGGAAUGCAGCUCUAAAUGGGAGGUAAAUUUCUUCUAAAGCUAAAUAUUGGCCAGAGACCGAUAGCGCACAAGUAGAGUGAUCGAAAGAUGAAAAGCACUUUGGAAAGAGAGUCAAACAGCACGUGAAAUUGUUGAAAGGGAAGCGCUUGCAGCCAGACUUGCUUGCAGUUGCUCAUCCGGGCUUUUGCCCGGUGCACUCUUCUGUAGGCAGGCCAGCAUCAGUUUGGGCGGUGGGAUAAAGGUCUCUGUCACGUACCUCUCUUCGGGGAGGCCUUAUAGGGGAGACGACAUACCACCAGCCUAGACUGAGGUCCGCGCAUCUGCUAGGAUGCUGGCGUAAUGGCUGUAAGCGGCCCGUCUUGAAACACGGACCAAGGAGUCUAACAUCUAUGCGAGUGUUUGGGUGUCAAGCCCGAGCGCGUAAUGAAAGUGAACGGAGGUGGGAACCCGCAAGGGUGCACCAUCGACCGAUCCUGAAGUUUACGGAAGGAUUUGAGUAAGAGCAUGGCUGUUGGGACCCGAAAGAUGGUGAACUAUGCUUGAAUAGGGUGAAGCCAGAGGAAACUCUGGUGGAGGCUCGCAGCGGUUCUGACGUGCAAAUCGAUCGUCAAAUUUGGGCAUAGGGGCGAAAGACUAAU
rnacentral:rRNA from 1 species